rnacentral:rRNA from 1 species
UACGAAGGGUGCAAGCGUUAAUCGGAAUUACUGGGCGUAAAGGGCGCGCAGGCGGCCCUCCAAGUCAGGCGUGAAAGCCCCGGGCUCAACCCGGGAACAGCGCUUGAGACUGGGGGGCUUGAGUUCGGGAGAGGAGAGUGGAAUUCCCAGUGUAGAGGUGAAAUUCGUAGAUAUUGGGAAGAACACCGGUGGCGAAGGCGGCUCUCUGGACCGACACUGACGCUGAGGCGCGAAAGCGUGGGGAGCAAACAGG